CCUACGGGAGGCUGCAGUGAGGAAUAUUGGUCAAUGGGCGCGAGCCUGAACCAGCAAAGUCGCGUGAAGGAUGACUGCCCUACGGGUUGUAAACUUCUUUUAUAAAGGAGUAAAGUGAGGCACGUGUGCCUUUUUGUAUGUACUUUAUGAAUAAGCAUCGGCUAACUCCGUGCCAGCAGCCGCGGUAAUACGGAGGAUCCGAGCGUUGUCCGGAUUUAUUGGGUUUAAAGGGAGCGUAGAUGGGUUGUUAAGUCAGUUGUGAAAGUUUGCGGCUCAACCGUAAAAUUGCAAUUGAUACUGGAAGUCUUGAGUACAGUUGAGGUAGACGGAAUUCGUGGUGUAGCGGUGAAAUGCUUAGAUAUCACGAAGAACUCCGAUUGCGAAGGCAGCUUACUAAACUGCCACUGACAUUGAUGCGCGAAAGUGUGGGUAUCAAACAGGAUUAGAUACCCUUGUAGUC
rnacentral:rRNA from 1 species